GCUUGCUUCUAGACGUUAGCGGCGGACGGGUGAGUAACACGUGGGCAACCUGCCUGUAAGACUGGGAUAACUUCGGGAAACCGAAGCUAAUACCGGAUAGGAUCUUCUCCUUCAUGGGAGAUGAUUGAAAGAUGGUUUCGGCUAUCACUUACAGAUGGGCCCGCGGUGCAUUAGCUAGUUGGUGAGGUAACGGCUCACCAAGGCAACGAUGCAUAGCCGACCUGAGAGGGUGAUCGGCCACACUGGGACUGAGACACGGCCCAGACUCCUACGGGAGGCAGC
rnacentral:rRNA from 1 species